rnacentral:tRNA from 1 species
GGUGAAGUGGUUAACACAUCGGAUUGUGGUUCCGACAUUCGAGGGUUCGAUCCCCUUC